UGGGGAGCAAACAGGAUUAGAUACCAUGGUAGUCCACGCUGUAAACGAUGAAUACUAGGUGUUGGGGAGCAAAGCUCUUCGGUGCCGCCGCUAACGCAGUAAGUAUUCCACCUGGGGAGUACGUUCGCGAGAAUGAAACUCAAAGGAAUUGACGGGGACCCGCACAAGCGGUGGAGCAUGUGGUUUAAUUAGAAGCAACGCGAAGAACCUUACCAGGUCUUGACACCGAUCCGACCGGGGAGUAACGUCCCCUUCCCUUCGGGGCGGAGAAGACAGGUGGUGCAUGGUUGUCGUCAGCUCGUGUCGUGAGAUGUUGGGUUAAGUCCCGCAACGAGCGCAACCCUUAUCCUAAGUAGCCAGCACGUAAAGGUGGGAACUCUUGGGAGACUGCCAGGGAUAACCUGGAGGAAGGUGGGGAUGACGUCAAAUCAUCAUGCCCCUUAUGAUCUGGGCUACACACGUGCUACAAUGGCGUAAACAAAGAGAAGCGAGACCGCGAGGUGGAGCAAAUCUCAGAAAUAACGUCUCAGUUCGGACUGCAGGCUGCAACUCGCCUGCACGAAGCUGGAAUCGCUAGUAAUCGCGAAUCAGAAUGUCGCGGUGAAUACGUUCCCGGGUCUUGUACACACCGCCCGUCACACCAUGGGAGUCAGUAACGCCCGAAGUCAGUGACCCAACCGUAAGGAGGGAGCUGCCGAAGGCGGGACCGAUAAC
rnacentral:rRNA from 1 species